CAAAAUUAAAUUAAAACGAAACUCUUUUGUUUACUUUUUAUUCAAAGAUAGCCGCGUCGCUUUUCGUGCGCUUAUAAAACCCAGUUUUUGUGUAGAUUUCUGUGUACAAGCUUGAUUUCCUUGCUACCUAUCCGUGUUACCUCUGUGAUUGUGGGUGGUUGUUGUGUGCAAUUCGAUCGGGAGUUGCUAAUUGUUGUUCACCUGUAAAACCUGUUACCAUGAGCGGUUCGAAUGUGGGAGCUACUAGCUGUGGAGCACACCCUAAAAUGAAACAAUCAUCGAAAUUAAACACAAGCACACCUUACCUCAGCGUCGGCAUCGUGCGUGAAGGCUAGAAAUUUCAUCCGGUUUUAUUCCAUGCUCCAAGCAUUUUUUUUCGCUUCCACCACAACUAAAUCAUACUUCCGUGGUUGAUUUUAUGUUUAUUCUACAAAACAAAACGUUUUUAAUGAUAAAUAUCAUAUAAUUUGCAUAAAAUACUUACAAAAUCA